rnacentral:rRNA from 1 species
UACGAAGGGGGCUAGCGUUGUUCGGAAUUACUGGGCGUAAAGCGCACGUUAGGCGGAUGUGUCAGUCAGGGGUGAAAUCCCGGGGCUCAACCUCGGAACUGCCUCUGAUACAGCACAUCUUGAGUCCGGAAGAGGUGAGUGGAACUCCUAGUGUAGAGGGUGGAAUUCGUAGAUAUUAGGAGGAACACCAGUGGCGAAGGCGACUACCUGGCCUGUUCUUGACGCUGAGGCGCGAAAG